GCCGGAGCGGCAGGAAGAGGAGGAGCCUGCGGGCAGCGGGCCGGGCCGCACCGCCCCCGCCACCUCUUGGCGGGGCGCGGGGUGCAGUCGGUGGCCGCUCGGACCGGACCGGACCCGGGCGUUCCUCGGAGCGGCCCCGCGGUCAGGGGAACGGCAACGGCAGGCAGCCCGUUAGCCCCCGAAAGAAAAGCGUAGGAAGGCAUUCCCAAGCUGGACGUAAUAAAUCGGAGUCUCAAAAGAGACUUCUGCACCCCUCCUCACUCCCGCAUGCUUGUGUAAAGUCCUACCCGACCUGCACGUUUCCAAAACCGACACGGAGUGCCUGCGCUCGGAGCUCGGCCAGGCACCCUCUGCAUGAGCCAGCGACGCGCAAGGUCCGCUUCCAAGCAAAGGACGUGUGGUUUCCUGAUGAUGCUUCUCUCAUCUCAUUGUGGAUUUUGUGUUUUGUUUUGUUUUUUUCUUUCUUUCAGAGUGUAGCAAGGAAACGGAACUUAACUGGCUGCAGUGCUUUGAUCCACUUUGGAAAUUAUGAGCUACUUAACAAGAGUGAAUAACGGUAUAAUGGAGCAGACAUAAGCAUGCCAAAAGUCUUUUUUAACUAGCAUCUUGUUUCCGAAAGUAACUGUGAGCAGGUACCAAGGAAACAAAUGAGAACUCUGCAAGCAUAUACAGUAUUUUCCCUGCUGCUCUCCCAGCUUCUGACCAGGUGAUUUCCUCUGCUGAACGCUUUGGGGUUGGAUUUUUCCACCCCACUCCCUUUUCCUUUUUACCUUCCUUCAGUAGAUUGCUCUACCAUUAAAUUCCCUGGCCUCUGUGAACCCACAUCAACUCCAGCCUCUGGCAAGGUCCACUGCCAUUUUUAGGAAGCAUCCCCUUGGCAUGUGUUGCAGUUGAGGCUGCCCACGCUCUUGUGUGAGAAGGAACCACUGGUUCCAUGGCGCACUCUCCACCCUGCACCUGGCUGUCCUUUUCGCCCUGUCCCGCCUCUCAGCAGGCUCUUCAGAGCAGAGCCUUUUCAGGUCUCCCCAGCCACUGCCCGUUACUCACCUGCUAAAGCAUCUUGUCGGCCUCUGGGACAAAGGUAAUAUCACGCUCUUUCUUGACCGGACACUGCAGGGAAUAGGUCUGCCUGUGGUGAACUGCCUCACAGGAGGCCUUGUGUUGUUUCCUCUUCUGUCUGCCAGGGACAGGUUUGAUAGGUUUUUCUCAUACAUAAUAUGAUCAUUUAAAGUCAUUGCUUUUACAUAAUAAAAGAUUGCACAUCUUCAUUCUACAGCUUCAUUUUAGAGAGUAUCAGAUAUAAAGCCCUGCGUCAGUGACAAUGUUUCCUCCUCUUCUUAACAUGCACUUUCCACAAUAUUUUUCAUUCCACAAUCUUAACUUCUUGAUCAAGUAAGAAAGCUAUUUUACAGGCUCGCUAACUUGAGGCUGGCUGGGAUGAAACUGAAGAUACCAUCCAAUAACCUUUGUAAAUGUUUGCUUUAUCUGUUUCUCAGGAAGCUUCACAAGCCAAUUAUUUCAGUUUCCAUAGUGAGCCAGUUUUGAUGUCUUUGCCACUCAACACACAUCCUGUUAAGAGUUGUCAUUAACUCUGUUGUCUUCUCUGUUCCGUGUGGUGCCAAGCACUUUGACAGAGUCCAAAUCAAUACUAAGUACAACAAUGGAUGUUUUUUAGCCUUAAUUCCAGGUUUAGCUAUCAUGGAUGAAACGGUCAACAGAUCAGAAGAAUGCUGCAAGAGCUUUUAUUUUCCCCAGUGGUUUCAGAAGGCUUAGUGGCUGUGCUAUCCAGACUGGCGUUUAGUCCAGAAACCUUGAUGUCCUGCUAUAAAACAUUAUUUUUCUGAGGGUAGGAAAGGCUGCAGUUGUUAUUAAAUGCCUGAAAUAAACAGUUAACAUCGUUCACGCUUUAGAUUUGCUUUAACACAGUAGAAUAAAUUCAGUGGAAUGUCAGAAAGUACUCUACAUGCACCAAAUAACUAGAAGAAUAAAUUUUAAAAUGAAAAGCAUUACUAAUCCUGAUGGAUUAGAACCAUAAAUUACACAUCUUAAAAAUAUUAACAGACAUUCUCAGAAACAGUCAGGCUGUGGCUGUAAGCACACCUCUACUUGUACCACCUACCUCCUUUCCCAAUACCCUUAUUCCUGGCUUGGGACAUGGGAUGAGACCAUGCUUGUCUACCAGAGGAGCAGAAUAGUGGCAAAGGAUUUUCCACCCCCAUCAGGAGAUUCAUCCUUGCUUCCACCUGGAGCAGGAGAUGCUUUUAGACAUUGCCAGGGUACACCCAAUCGAUGCCAGGCCUGGGCUGGCUGUACUUCCGCUCCCUCUGUAUCUCCUGCUGAAUAGCCAGGAGGAGAUGCAGUCUGCAGGGUGGUGCGUCUCUUGGGCAAAAUCCCACUGAGGUGUGUCUGUCUGUGCCUCAGCUAAACUGUUGUUUCGAGGGGAUGCCCAUGUAUUUAAUAUUAUCAAGUCAUCUCACAUUCUUCUUAGGAGGCAUUAUGGCUAAAACUUCCUCUUUUUUUUUUUU